UUUAUGGAGAGUUUGAUCCUGGCUCAGGAUGAACGCUGGCGGCGUGCCUAAUACAUGCAAGUCGAGCGAACGGACGAGAAGCUUGCUUCUCUGAUGUUAGCGGCGGACGGGUGAGUAACACGUGGAUAACCUACCUAUAAGACUGGGAUAACUUCGGGAAACCGGAGCUAAUACCGGAUAAUAUUUUGAACCGCAUGCUUCAAAAGUGAAAGACGGUCUUGCUGUCACUUAUAGAUGGAUCCGCGCUGCAUUAGCUAGUUGGUAAGGUAACGGCUUACCAAGGCAACGAUGCAUAGCCGACCUGAGAGGGUGAUCGGCCACACUGGAACUGAGACACGGUCCAGACUCCUACGGGAGGCAGCAGUAGGGAAUCUUCCGCAAUGGGCGAAAGCCUGACGGAGCAACGCCGCGUGAGUGAUGAAGGUCUUCGGAUCGUAAAACUCUGUUAUUAGGGAAGAACAUAUGUGUAAGUAACUGUGCACAUCUUGACGGUACCUAAUCAGAAAGCCACGGCUAACUACGUGCCAGCAGCCGCGGUAAUACGUAGGUGGCAAGCGUUAUCCGGAAUUAUUGGGCGUAAAGCGCGCGUAGGCGGUUUUUUAAGUCUGAUGUGAAAGCCCACGGCUCAACCGUGGAGGGUCAUUGGAAACUGGAAAACUUGAGUGCAGAAGAGGAAAGUGGAAUUCCAUGUGUAGCGGUGAAAUGCGCAGAGAUAUGGAGGAACACCAGUGGCGAAGGCGACUUUCUGGUCUGUAACUGACGCUGAUGUGCGAAAGCGUGGGGAUCAAACAGGAUUAGAUACCCUGGUAGUCCACGCCGUAAACGAUGAGUGCUAAGUGUUAGGGGGUUUCCGCCCCUUAGUGCUGCAGCUAACGCAUUAAGCACUCCGCCUGGGGAGUACGACCGCAAGGUUGAAACUCAAAGGAAUUGACGGGGACCCGCACAAGCGGUGGAGCAUGUGGUUUAAUUCGAAGCAACGCGAAGAACCUUACCAAAUCUUGACAUCCUUUGACAACUCUAGAGAUAGAGCUUUCCCCUUCGGGGGACAAAGUGACAGGUGGUGCAUGGUUGUCGUCAGCUCGUGUCGUGAGAUGUUGGGUUAAGUCCCGCAACGAGCGCAACCCUUAAGCUUAGUUGCCAUCAUUAAGUUGGGCACUCUAAGUUGACUGCCGGUGACAAACCGGAGGAAGGUGGGGAUGACGUCAAAUCAUCAUGCCCCUUAUGAUUUGGGCUACACACGUGCUACAAUGGACAAUACAAAGGGCAGCGAAACCGCGAGGUCAAGCAAAUCCCAUAAAGUUGUUCUCAGUUCGGAUUGUAGUCUGCAACUCGACUACAUGAAGCUGGAAUCGCUAGUAAUCGUAGAUCAGCAUGCUACGGUGAAUACGUUCCCGGGUCUUGUACACACCGCCCGUCACACCACGAGAGUUUGUAACACCCGAAGCCGGUGGAGUAACCUUUUAGGAGCUAGCCGUCGAAGGUGGGACAAAUGAUUGGGGUGAAGUCGUAACAAGGUAGCCGUAUCGGAAGGUGCGGCUGGAUCACCUCCUUUCU
rnacentral:rRNA from 1 species